rnacentral:rRNA from 1 species
UACAGGGGGUGCAAACGUUGCUCGGAAUUAUUGGGCGUAAAGCGCGCGUAGGCGGCUACUUAUGUCGGAUGUGAAAGCCCUCGGCUCAACUGAGGAAGUGCACCCGAAACUGAGUGGCUGGAGUACGAAAGAGGGUCGCGGAAUUCCCGGUGUAGAGGUGAAAUUCGUAGAUAUCGGGAAGGACACCGGUGGCGAAGGCGGCGACCUGGGU